rnacentral:rRNA from 1 species
GACGAACGCUGGCGGCGUGCUUAACACAUGCAAGUCGAACGAAGAGCGAUGGGAGCUUGCUUCUAUCAAUCUUAGUGGCGAACGGGUGAGUAACGCGUAAUCAACCUGCCCUUCAGAGGGGGACAACAGUUGGAAACGACUGCUAAUACCGCAUACGAUCUAAUCUCGGCAUCGAGGAUAGAUGAAAGGUGGCCUCUACAUGUAAGCUAUCACUGAAGGAGGGGAUUGCGUCUGAUUAGCUAGUUGGAGGGGUAACGGCCCACCAAGGCGAUGAUCAGUAGCCGGUCUGAGAGGAUGAACGGCCACAUUGGGACUGAGCCACGGCCCAGACUCCUACGGGAGGCAGCAGUGGGGAAUCUUCCGCAAGGGACGAAAGUCUGACGGAGCAACGCCGCGUGAGUGAUGACGGCCUUCGGGUUGUAAAGCUCUGUUAAUCGGGACGAAAGGCCUUCUUGCGAACAGUUAGAAGGAUUGACGGUACCGGAAUAGAAAGCCACGGCUAACUACGUG